rnacentral:sRNA from 1 species
AAGGCGUCAAAGGGAUGGAGGUGAGAAUCUCCACCGAGGUUCGACGACGGCGCGUAGCGACGGCGAACGGCAACAUGCCGGCCCCGCAGGGGUGAGGCCCGGAGGGCUGAAUAAUCCUCCAUCCCCAACCA